rnacentral:rRNA from 1 species
GACAGAGGUGCCGAGCGUUAUGCGGAAUCACUGGGCUUAAAGCGUGUGUAGGCGGAUCUGUAAGUUCCUUGUGAAAUCCCACGGCUCAACCGUGGAACUGCUUGGUAUACUGCGGGUCUUGAGCCACCUAGGGGCAAGUGGAACAAACGGUGGAGCGGUGAAAUGCGUAGAUAUCGUUUGGAACGCCAAUGGUGAAAACAACUUGCUGGGGGUGUGCUGACGCUGAGACACGAAAGCCAGGGGAGCAAACGGG